rnacentral:rRNA from 1 species
CACCUUACCCACCUUUGACAUGUACGGAAUUUGCCAGAGAUGGCUUAGUGCUCGAAAGAGAGCCGUAACACAGGUGCUGCAUGGCUGUCGUCAGCUCGUGUCGUGAGAUGUUGGGUUAAGUCCCGCAACGAGCGCAACCCUUGUCAUUAGUUGCUACGAAAGGGCACUCUAAUGAGACUGCCGGUGACAAACCGGAGGAAGGUGGGGAUGACGUCAAGUCCUCAUGGCCCUUAUAGGUGGGGCUACACACGUCAUACAAUGGCCGGUACAAAGGGUCGCAAACCCGCGAGGGGGAGCUAAUCCAUCAAAGCCGGUCGUAGUCCGGAUCGCAGUCUGCAACUCGACUGCGUGAAGUCGGAAUCGCUAGUAAUCGUGGAUCAGCAUGUCACGGUGAAUACGUUCCCGGGUCUUGUACACACCGCCCGUCACACCAUGGGAGCGGGUCUCGCCAGAGGUAGUUAGCCUAACCGCGAGGAGGGCGAUUACCACGGCGGGGUUCGUGACUG